CAAAACAACCAACUAAAUCCUAUUUGCUAAUUGUGUUUCUUUGAUAAAUGUGAUGACAGCACUAGUGAUGUUUCCUGAUCUAGGCUCACCUAAUAAGGUGUCUAAAGAGAAGGCUUUCUUGGCUGCGUUCACUUCCCUCUUUAGCUUUUCUCUUUGUCUGGAGAAUCUUAAGCAUUUUAAAAGAACAUGAUCUACAUCCUCUCUCAUUCCACAAAACUCACAUUUUCCAGUUGGAUGUUUAUUUACAACAUCUUGUCUGCUUCCUCAUUACCACCAACUCCUUUAUGAGCAGGUACCCAUACAAACUGGAUUGAUAUUCCCUGUUGACUGAUUGCAAAUAUGAUAUUAUUAAUUUCAUUCAAUAAAUCCUGUCGGCAUGA